rnacentral:tRNA from 10 species
ACUUGGAGAACAAUGAAGCGUGAGCUGGAGGGGAGCGAGCGGGCCGCCGGGAGCGCACUGUGUACAAACAGAGGCGGCGUGCGUCCUUUGGAAGGAAUUGGGCCAUGAGAAGAGCCCUCAUGAAUGGGAUUAGUUCCCUUAUAAGAAGAGACACCAAGGAAGUGAUCUUUCUCUGCCCUCUGCUAUGUGAAGACAAGGUAAGAAGACAGCUAUGAACCAAGAAGCAGGCCCUUACCAGACACCAAAUCUGCUGGUGCAUUGAUCUUGGACUUCUCAGCCUCCAGGACUGUGAGAAAUAAAUGUUUAUUGUUGAAGCCACCCAGUCUACAGUAAUUUGUUAUAGCAGCUGAAAUUGACUAAGACAAUUUAAAAAAAUUAAUCUCAUUGACUAUCAAUUUGGAUUCUGGAGCAUACCUGGAUUCAGGUAUACAUUGGAUUUGGGCAUAUCUGAACUGGAAUAUGGUCUCUAUCAUUCUAACUCCUUUAACUAAGUUAAAGUCUGUUAAGUGCCAAACCUCAGUAUUCUCAUCUGUAAAAUGAAGGUAGUGAUAGUAUCAAACUGAUAGUGGUAGGUUGUGGUGGUGCACAAAAGGGCCUAGUCCAGCACUGGACACAUGGUGAUGAUGAUGAAAGAUAAUGAUACUGAUAAAUAAGAAGACAAUACUAAUAUACAUAAUUCCAAAAGAAUUUUUCUUAAUACGUGAUCCUCUUCACUCCCCGUCUCCCAUCCCCAUUAAAUUACCUGGAAUUUUUUAGUCCAUCUUUCAGUUUGUCAAGCAACGAAUAACACUAAAGGUAGUCUUUUUUAUUAUCGUGUAAUUAUGGAAUUUUUUAUUAUUUUGCAUUUUAAAACUUUGUUUUGAAUUUCCAAAACUUUUUAUUUAAUAUCUAAAAUGUCUUUCUACUAAAAUUUUGCUCUCACCGUCUGAGACUCAAAGCAGAAAACCCAGCCAAGACCAUCUCAAAUUCUGACCUACAGAACUGGGAGUUAAUAAUUGGUGUUGUUUUAAACUGCUGAGUCUGUGGUAGUUUGCUAUGAAGACUAAUAUAGUUGGUUACUAUUGUUAUUCUAAUUUCAGGGAGAAGGAAUAAGUCAUGGAGCGGUUAGGUUAAUUGUCCAUCCUCUCAAGUUAGUAAGUGUUGGAGCCGAUAAGUGAAUCUAAACAGCGUGAAUCUAAAGCCCACUGCAUACUUCUGCCAACAAUUAUGAAGGGUCGACUGUAUGCUAAGCUCUAAUGCAUUUUUACAUAUAUUGCUUUACUAAAUAGGUUACCUCAACAACCUUUAUGAGGUAAAUAUUAUUAUUAUUUGCAUUUGACUACUGAGGAAACCAAGAAUCAAAACCUUUAAGUACAUUGCCCAGGAUCAAGGUGGCGGUGAGGAAUGGAGCCAAGAGCUAGUAUCAGAGCCCUGCUCUGGUUCCAGUAGUGAUUUUCACAGCCAUUGUGUUAAAAUGCCUAUUUAGACAGUGGUCUAACUUACUUUAUUUAUUGACAUUUUCAAUUUCAAUGGUUAUAAUUAUAAUUGUCAUUUUUUAGUACAGUUUGCAUUUCUCCCUGAUCUUCUUGAUGCAUCAUUUUAGAAUAUACAUUGCUGAAAUGUAGAAUUUCAAGCACAUUUUAAAUUCUCUACAAUAUUUGCAUAACUCAUAACACUUUUCUUCAUUGCUCCCACAAGCACCAAGAUAAUUCUUUCCUCCAACCCUCUGCUCAUGCUGUUAUCCCCACCUGAAAUGCCCUCUUACAAAUCCUACUAGCUGAAUUACAGUUUCCAUUUAAGACCUCCCCGAAUUAUUCUAGCACCAGAGAACCAUCAUUUCUUAGAAUUAACAGUGCUUUUAAUUUUUUUUCUAGUUGUUUCACUUGUGUUAAUCUUAUCUUUCCAAAGAAUUAUAUGGUUCUUACCAUUUAGAUAACUGCAUGUCUUAGACAUAGCUGAGUGUUAUGUUUUAAAUUUCUUCAGUCUUUCCACUGUGAACACUAAGGAAAAUUAAUUUUUAAGACUACAGAUUUGAUACCAAAUCCCUACUUCCUAAUAUUUCACUGCCUGAUUCCCUAAUGGAUGCUCUUUCCAGAAAAUGUGUAGGGUCAUUAAGCAAGAGUGUACCUUUGCUUUCAGAAUUUGACCCUGGUAGGAGAAAUUUCUGGUGCUUCUAAUUCUUUCCCUCCAGUUUCCCAGUCAAACUCAUUUCAGUGACUUGGUUUUUAGCUUCCUGAAAUAUGUUUGAAUAAUUAAUAUAUACACACAAUAAAAGUUCAAAGGUACAAAAGAGUGUGCAGGAAAAUAAAAGUUUUCCUCCUAAUGACAUUCCCUUCUUACACAAGGUUAUUCCCUCAGGGCCUACUGCUGAUAUCUAGUAGCUAUGCUUGUGUAUCCUUCUAAAGAUACACAAACACACCCCCCUAUAUAUGUGUGUUUAUAUGUACUUGUGCAUACAUGUGUGUAUAUAUAGUGUGUAUAUGUGUACACACAUACUUUUUACAAAAGUUACUAAAUUAUACAAUCAUGGAUCUUGCUUUUCUUCACAAACGUUCUGUGUUUUGAAAUUGUAUCAAGGACUGCAUAGUAUCUGUAUAUGUAAAUCCUUUUUGAUAGACAUUUAAGUUGCUUCCAAUCUUUUGCUAUUGCAAGCAAUAUUACAUGAAUACACAUUUUGCACAUGUGUGCAAGAUAAACAUAUUAGAAUAGAUUUGUUGAAGUAACAUUGUUGGUGGGGGGAAUGUUCAUAUAAAAUUGUGAUAGAUAUUACCAAUUUGCCAUUCAUAAGGUAUCUAUGAGUUCACCCUUCCACCUGUACUGUAUCAGACAGCUUGUCUCUCUUUAGUGUGGCUGAUAUGAUUCUUAACAGUCUUUGAAAGACAAAAAAAGGUAUCUCAUGGUUUUGAACACCUAUUAUUUUUACUGGGUUUGAGCAACUUUUCGCAUAUUUAAAAAUAAUUAUUUUCUUUAUGUGAACUGGCAUUUCAUGUAUUUUGCUUUUAUUUCUACUGAUUUGCUAACCUUUUUAUUGAUUGGUAGGAGAUCUGUAUAAGGAAAUUCAUCCAUUUGGGGUCACAUUAAUGUCAAAAAAUUUAUCCAGCUGGUUCUUGUCCUUUAACCUAGUUUACACCUAUUUGUUUGAUUUUAUUGUGCUAAAAUUGCUAAAAUAUUUUAUAUUUGGGUGAUGAAAUUUAUCCACCUUUGCUUUAAGAUUUCUAGGUUUUGAUAUUUGCUAAGAUAGGCUUUCAGUAUUCUGAAUUUAUAAACAUAUCUUACAGUGUCUUAUAGUAGUUUUAUGAAUAUUUCAUGUGUGUUUUUACAAUUCUUACCAAAUUAAAAUUUGAGAGAUAGUAUUUGUUACUAUCUUACUUGUUCUCUCAAAAACUACCAGUAAUAACAAAACCAUAUAUUGAAUAAAUCCAUAUAUUUCAAAUUAAUAUGACAUGCCAACUCACUCACUUAGUCACUAUAUAUUUGGCUCUACUGCUUGCUUUUAUAGACUGUUCCAUUGGGUUAUCUAUUCGUGUGCCAGUACUACAUGCCUAAUUGUUGUUUUAAUUUUUUUUUAAUAACUACUAGGGUAAACAUCAUCUACUUCUUUUUUAAAAAAUACUCCCUGACUAAUGUACAUUUAUUUUUUUUCCUACAUGAACUUUAGAGUGAGCUUGUCUAGUUGAAAAAAACAUAAUAAAUAUAUUUAUAGUAUUAGUAUACCUAUGUAUAUAUCCAAUUUUCUUCUGUGUUUCUCUUGUUAAGUUUCUAUUUAGAUAUUUUAUAUUUUUAUAUGCCUACCUAAAUGCAAAUUUCUUCAUUAUAUUUUGUAACUGGCUCUUCUACAUUUAUAGGAAGGCUAUCUUUGUGUGUG